GGAAAACUGAUCUUGAAGACUGAGAUGCCUAUGAAAUGAGAAAGACUAAAUAGAUAACAUCCAUGGAGAAAUAGGAGGAUGGCCUCUGUAUGGGUUGGAGGAGUCUUGCCUGUGAAAUGUUUCCAAGAGUACAAGCCCAGUAGCAGCACUGGUUGCAAAAGAGUUUUCUUCACUAUCCUCUGGCAUUCAGAGAAUUGCUUUGUAGACAUAUUGAUUGACGGCCAUCUAUCCACACAUCAGGCAUUCUAAAUGGCUCCCUUCUGGACUAUCUCAGAAGAAGAAAUAUUCAUUAGCCCUUCAAAACACAACACUGAGGACAACUCUGUCAAAGAAGAUAUUUCUACGCACAGCGAAAGUCAAAAAUUACAUUAUUCCUGGGAAACACACUCGCUUCAGCCUGCACCAACCAAAAUGACUGCUCAAAGGCCAUUCAGCCCCUUUAUCACUGUGGCUCAACUUUGAUUUUCUUCCCAGUUCAUCCAUGAUUCAGACUUCUUCUGUUUCAGGAGCUUUGCCCAUGCGUUCUGCCACCUUCUGCCAGGAAUUACACCUGUCCCAUCCCGUCGUCUCCUGAAUGUCCAGAGACAGGGGUCUCCCCGUGUUGUCCAGAACGGUCUUGAACUCCUGGUCUUCAAGCAAUCUUCCUGCCUUGGUCUCUCAAAGUGCUGGGAUUACAAGUGUGAGCCACCAUACCCGGUCAUAGCGCUCUUAUAAAAUGCAUCAUCACAUUUAUUUUAUAAAUUCAGAAACAAAAGUCUGUAUAGAGAAGUUUUGAAGUUACUAGGGACCUGAAAAUCAUACUGAAGAUGUCUGCAACUAAAAACUCGAAGAGUUCCGAGGCUAGAGGGGUCAGGAGAUGAAUAAAAACGUUAGCCCCAGCUGAUCACAAUGAGGUUAAUCACAAUACUAAUUAAAAAUACUACAGAUCCUAGGACAAUGGUCAGAAGAGUGACUAUACUUUCCUGUUUGCCCUUGGAAAAUCGAGGGCUGACUUUUCUACGUGCUCAGAUAACCUAAAUUGAUAGAGAGAAAGCUAGCAGAGGAUAAGAUAAACUAGUUAACUGUAAAUAAGAUUUUGCUGUUGGAGAAUCUUCUUGUUGCUCUGGUUUUAGAUAGCGGAGGAAGCCAAAAAAUAUCUGCUUUAAGUUACCAGGAGUUGAAGUUCAUCCCUGCUGAAGUUAACAGGUUGCUUCCCUUUUUCUGGUGUAUUCUUACUUUACUGGCAAAGAGAAAAUAAAUUAAUACCUUAUUGU
rnacentral:lncRNA from 1 species